ACGAACGCUGGCAGCGUGCUUAACACAUGCAAGUCGAACGGAAAGGCCCUGCUUUUGUGGGGUGCUCGAGUGGCGAACGGGUGAGUAACACGUGAGUAACCUGCCCUUGACUUUGGGAUAACUUCAGGAAACUGGGGCUAAUACCGGAUAGGAGCUCCUGCUGCAUGGUGGGGGUUGGAAAGUUUCGGCGGUUGGGGAUGGACUCGCGGCUUAUCAGCUUGUUGGUGGGGUAGUGGCUUACCAAGGCUUUGACGGGUAGCCGGCCUGAGAGGGUGACCGGCCAAAAUGGGACUGAGAUACGGCCCAGACUCCUACGGGGGGGAACAGUGGGGAAUAUUGCACAAUGGGCGGAAGCCUGAUGCAGCAACGCCGCGUGCGGGAUGACGGCCUUCGGGUUGUAAACCGCUUUCGCCUGUGACGAAGCGUGAGUGACGGUAAUGGGUAAAGAAGCACCGGCUAACUACGUG
rnacentral:rRNA from 1 species